rnacentral:rRNA from 1 species
UACAGAGGGUGCAAGCGUUAAUCGGAAUGACUGGGCGUAAAGCGCGCGUAGGUGGUUUGUUAAGUUGGAUGUGAAAGCCCCGGGCUCAACCUGGGAAUGGCAUCCAAAACUGUCAGACUAGAGUAUAGUAGAGGGGGGUAGAAUUUCCGGUGUAGCGGUGAAAUGCGUAGAGAUCGGAAGGAAUACCAGUGGCGAAGGCGGCCCCCUGGACUGAUACUGACACUGAAGUGCGAAAGCGUGGGUAGCAAACAGG